UAAUACGGAGGGUGCAAGCGUUGUCCGGAUUCAUUGGGUUUAAAGGGUGCGCAGGCGGGAAAUUAAGUCAGGGGUGAAAGACGGUUGCUCAACAAUCGCAGUGCCUUUGAUACUGGUUUUCUUGGGUGACCUUGAGGUAGGCGGAAUGGGUGGUGUAGCGGUGAAAUGCAUAGAUACCACCCAGAACUCCGAUUGCGAAGGCAGCCUACUGGAGGUUUACCGACGCUCAGGCACGAAAGCGUGGGGAUCAAACAGGAUUAGAUACCCUGGUAGUCCACGCCGUAAACGAUGAUCACUCGCUGUGGGGGCACCUGCCUCCGCGGCUUAGCGAAAGCGUUAAGUGAUCCACCUGGGGAGUACGCUCGCAAGGGUG
rnacentral:rRNA from 1 species